rnacentral:lncRNA from 1 species
AUUUGAUCGGCAUGAUACAUAAAAGGAGAGUAGCAGGGCAUGGGCUGGGAACCUGGAGGCCUGUUCAAGACUGUUCAGCAUUGACAAGGUAAUCCCUCCCCACUGUUAACCAGGAAAACUCUACUUCUGUUAAAUUCUGAUCACCAUCUAAUGGUUAUUGCUACAGUGUUUAAUAAGCAAUGCAUUAUCCCUGGGCAGUGGAAUUAAUAUCAUUACUCAGAGACGGUAAACAGAAG